rnacentral:tRNA from 2 species
AGGCCCGUGGUGUAAUGGUAGCACACCAGUUUUUGGUACUGGCGGUCCUGGUUCGAAUCCAGGCGGGCUUG